rnacentral:rRNA from 1 species
UACGUAGGGUGCGAGCGUUAAUCGGAAUUACUGGGCGUAAAGCGUGCGCAGGCGGUUUUGUAAGUCAGAUGUGAAAUCCCCGAGCUCAACUUGGGAACUGCGUUUGAAACUACAAGACUAGAAUAUGUCAGAGGGGGGAGAAUUCCACGUGUAGCAGUGAAAUGCGUAGAGAUGUGGAGGAAUACCAAUGGCGAAGGCCAGCCCCCUGGGAUAAUAUUGACGCUCAUGCACGAAAGCGUGGGGAGCAAACAGG